rnacentral:rRNA from 1 species
GACGAACGCUGGCGGCGUGCUUAACACAUGCAAGUCGAACGGAAAGGACCUGCUUUUGUGGGGUGCUCGAGUGGCGAACGGGUGAGUAACACGUGAGUAACCUGCCCUUGACUUUGGGAUAACUUCAGGAAACUGGGGCUAAUACCGGAUAGGAGCUCCUGCUGCAUGGUGGGGGUUGGAAAGUUUCGGCGGUUGGGGAUGGACUCGCGGCUUAUCAGCUUGUUGGUGGGGUAGUGGCUUACCAAGGCUUUGACGGGUAGCCGGCCUGAGAGGGUGACCGGCCACAUUGGGACUGAGAUACGGCCCAGACUCCUACGGUAGGCAGCAGUGGGGAAUAUUGCACAAUGGGCGGAAGCCUGAUGCAGCAACGCCGCGUGCGGGAUGACGGCCUUCGGGUUGUAAACCGCUUUCGCCUGUGACGAAGCGUGAGUGACGGUAAUGGGUAAAGAAGCACCGGCUAACUACGUG